GAUGAACGCUGGCGGCGUGCCUAAUACAUGCAAGUCGAGCGAACAGACGAUGAUCUUGCUCCUCUCACGUUAGCGGCGCACGUGUGAGAAACACGUGUAUACCCUACCUAUAAUACUGGUAUAACUUCGGGAAUCGGGAGAUAAUACCGGAUAAUAUAUUGCACCAUAUGGUGCAAUGGAGAGAGACGGCUGUUCGGGAUGUACUAGAUGGAUCUGCGCCGGAUUAGCUAGUUGGUAAUUUAAAGGGUUACCAAGGCAACUAGGCGUAGGCGACCUGAGAGGGGGAUAGCCCACACUGGAACGGAGACGCGGACCAUACUCCUACGGGACGGCGCAGUCGGGAAUCUUACGCAAUGGGGGAAAGCAUGACAGAGUGAGCGCGAGUGAGAUAUGAAGGUCUCCCGAUCGUAAAGCUCUGUUAUUAGGGAUGAACAAAUGUGUACGGAGCUAUGCACGUAUUGACGGUAAUUAAUCAGGAAGCCACGGCUAACUACGUG
rnacentral:rRNA from 1 species